UACGUAGGGGGCUAGCGUUGUCCGGAAUCAUUGGGCGUAAAGCGCGUGUAGGCGGUCCGGUAAGUCCGCUGUGAAAGUCGGGGGCUCAACCCUCGAAUGCCGGUGGAUACUGUCGGGCUAGAGUGCGGAAGAGGCGAGUGGAAUUCCUGGUGUGGCGGUGAAAUGCGCAGAUAUCAGGAGGAACACCAAUUGCGAAGGCAGCUCGCUGGGACGUUACUGACGCUGAGACGCGAAAGCGUGGGGAGCAAACAGG
rnacentral:rRNA from 1 species